rnacentral:lncRNA from 1 species
GGACACCUGAGGAAAGGGCAGGGGUGUGUGUUUUUACGUUUUAGUUAAAAAAAAAAAAAAAGAACCAACUUGCCCUCAUGGAAGGAGUGUAAGCAAAAGUGGAUGUAGUCAGAGGCAUGUGCCUGGCUUGAUUGCUAUAUAACACAGUUUCUUAUUUCCAUUCUGUGAUCUCAGAUGGUGAGAGAGAGAGCUUGGCUCAGUGGAGCAAGAGAGAGAAAGAGAUACCUGGAGAGGUGGCAAGGGGCCAAGCCACACGGGCCCUCAGUGCGAGGUGAGGAGGGCGCUGGAGAGCCGUGGAGGGUUAGAGGCUGAGGAGGGAUGCAGUCACCUGGGGUGUGGGGGGAACAGCCAUCAAAUGGCUGCCUGUCCCUCAAGGGGUCCGGGCCCUGACAUAGCCCUGACCUCUUUGCUCCCCUCUUACCCACAGGAGCCGGCCUCUGAGUUUGGGGGCUGGGGCGGACAAACCUGUCCUGCAGGCAGGCCCGCCUGGGUGAGGCCACGCUGCUGCCGGUCUGACUGAGCCACACUCUGCAGGUAUAUGGUAGGAUGGAGCCCGAAAGCCAAGUGGCAGAUGUGGGUCAGAGAUGGCGGCCUACCUACCUGACUGCCCAGAGGUCAGAGGUCAGGUCAAACCCCGGCCUCCCAUCUAGCAAGUCCUGGCCUAUUAUUAUUAUUAUUGAGACGGAGUUCGAGACCAGCCUGGCCAACAUGGUGAAACCCGGUCUCUAACCCUGUCUCCUCACUGCCUCUGUCCUGCCGCGCAGGAGCGGGAUGCUGAGCCCUGUCCGCCCCACGGGGAGCUGCAGUACCUAAGGCAGGUGGAGCACAUCGUCUGCUGCAGCUGCAGGAAGGACGCCCCCAGGGCACCUGCUCUCUGCCGCCGCUGUUUUCGUUUUCGGCAGGCAGGCAGUCAGUCAGUCCCACUGCAGCCUGAGAAGUGACUUUCCUCUGCUGACAACCACAAUGUUUUGGAGGAGUUGCUGUCGUUUAUCAAGGGAUCCACAUAUGCUGAAGAACUGUC